rnacentral:sRNA from 1 species
AUAAAAAUGUUAUAAUAUAUCUUGGACAAGUUAAGUUGAUGGUGGCUAUCUGAGUAUAAGAGGGUGGUGCCUAUGAUGGCAUUACUUAAAUCUUUAGAAAGGGACGCCUAUUGUGAUUUCUAUUGUAGACGCAUUAAGCCUUAUGAUAGGUUUCGGUACAUUUAUCGUUACACACAUUGAGGUAAU